rnacentral:rRNA from 1 species
GUGUCAGCCGCCGCGGUAAGACAGAGGUCCCAAGCGUUAGGCGGAAUCACUGGGCUUAAAGCGUGUGUAGGUGGAUGGCUAAGUACUUUGUGAAAUCCCACGGCUUAACCGUGGAACUGCUUGGUAUACUGGUCAUCUUGAGCCACUUAGGGGCAACUGGAACAAACGGUGGAGCGGUGAAAUGCGUAGAUAUCGUUUGGAACGCCAAUGGUGAAAACAGGUUGCUGGGAGUGUGCUGACACUGAGACACGAAAGCCAGGGGAGCAAACGGGAUUAGAAACCCUGGUAGUCC